AGCUGAGGUUGCGGUUAUGCAUCAGUACCCCUGCACAUUCGGCGGACAGCCGUGCAGGACGAAAGGGCAAACCGCCGAAGCGCGCGUUCCGUCUGUCCGGCGGCAGUGUGCUGGGGUUAUGCAGAAGAUGCAUAAAACUGUCAUUCCGACCGGAAUGGAGCGCAACUGU
rnacentral:ncRNA from 1 species